GCGCCAUGGCGUAUUACACUUUGUUACAUGCAUGUGUGUGGAAGUUAGCUUAUGCAAUAUGUAGCGUCUUGGAUUUAAACAACCAAACAAACGUGAGAUGUGGCUUGUUCGCUUCCUGGAUGUGUAGGGAGGACUACCUCGUAAAAUAAAAUGAGACUUAAAUUGGGAUUUAUAUUCAGGAGUUUCCUUGUCAUUCUGACGUUUUUUGUGUUAGUGCUGCUGUGGUCUUCUCUUACGAACAAACUCAACGACGAGAACCGUUUUGGAGUGCAGGAUGAUGGUUUGCUGAACAAAGGAGCCCGAGAUCAGUUUAAGCCAGUUUUACCCUGGCCUCAUGUGGAAGGUGUGGAAGUGGACCUCAACUCUAUCAGACUGAAACAUGGAGAGGGCAACCGCAACCCCAAACAUCAGGUGAACCAGCAUGAGGUGAUCCAGCAGCAGUAUGUAACAUUCCGGCCCAACUCACACAAUUACAAUGCCCCAGUCCUCAAAAACGGUGUUUUGGGAAACUUUGAACCGAAAGAACCUGAACCUCAAGGGGUCCCUAAUGGCCCAGGAGAGGGGGCCAAGUCCUUAGUCCUAGGUCCAGAAUACAAAGACACCAUCCAGGCAACCAUCAAAGAGUUUGGCUUCAACAUGGUUGCCAGUGACAUGAUAUCACUGGACAGGACAAUCAGUGAUAUACGCCACAAAGAGUGCAAGUACUGGCAUUAUGAUGAAAGACUGCUGACCUCCAGUGUGGUGAUCGUCUUCCAUAAUGAAGGCUGGUCAACCCUGAUGAGAACCAUCCACAGCGUCAUCAAGAGGACUCCCAGGAGGUACCUGGCUGAGAUUGUCAUGAUAGAUGACUUUAGCAACAAAGUCCAUCUGAAGGAACGUUUGGAAAUGUACAUCAAGCAAUGGAACGGACUUGUAAAGCUCUUCAGAAAUGAGAAGAGAGAGGGCCUUAUCCAGGCACGAAGUAUUGGAGCCAAGAAGGCCACUAAGGGACAGGUGCUAAUCUACCUGGAUGCUCACUGUGAAGUUGGAAUCAACUGGUAUGCUCCACUGGUUGCUCCUAUUUCAGAGGACAGAACGGUGUGUACUGUUCCUCUGAUUGACUCCAUCCAUGGUGAGAAGUUCACCAUUGAGCCACAGGGUGGAGGAGAUGAAGACGGCUUUGCUAGAGGAGCGUGGGAUUGGAGCAUGCUGUGGAAAAGAGUUCCUCUGAACGACAGAGAAAAAAAACAAAGAAAAACUCGUACUGAGCCAUAUAGGUCUCCCGCCAUGGCAGGGGGUCUCUUUGCUAUAGAACGUGACUUUUUCUUUGAGCUUGGUCUAUACGAUCCAGGAUUGCAGAUAUGGGGAGGAGAAAAUUUUGAAAUCUCAUACAAGAUUUGGCAGUGUGGUGGCAAACUGCUCUUUGUUCCCUGCUCUCGUGUUGGUCAUAUAUACAGACUUCAAGGAUGGCAAGGCAAUCCUCCACCUGCACAUGUUGGUUCCUCACCUACGCUGAAGAAUUACGUUCGCGUGGUGGAGGUAUGGUGGGAUGAAUACAAGGACUACUUCUACGCCAGUCGCCCUGAAACGCUAACCCUUGCCUACGGGGACAUCAGCCAGCUGAAACGCUUCAGGGAAGAACAUCGAUGCAAGAGCUUCAAAUGGUUCAUGGAGGAAAUAGCUUAUGACAUACCACAACACUAUCCCCUGCCUCCAAAAAAUGUGGAAUGGGGAGAGAUUCGGGGCUUGGAGACAACUUACUGUAUUGACAGUAUGGGACACACAAAUGGAGGAAAUGUGGAAACUGGGCCGUGUCACAGGAUGGGUGGCAAUCAGUUGUUCCGUAUCAACGAGGCCAACCAGCUCAUGCAGUAUGAUCAGUGUCUGACCAGAGGAGUUGACAGUUCAGCUGUCAUCAUCACACAUUGUGACAACAAGCAGUACGCAGAGUGGAAGUAUUUCAAGGAUCUCCAUCGCUUCACUCAUGUAACCACAGGUGUCAUCCACGUAUCUAAACCAGUGCCUUGGUUUUGUCCCUGAGAAGGAUGUGAGAGCCUGUUUCUCCAUCUCUUCCAUGUACAGAUUCGCCACUAUGGGUGAGACUGGCAAGUGUUUGGAUCGCUCGGACCUCCUUCACAAAGUGUUCAUAUCCGACUGUGACGGAAGUAAAACCACUCAAAGGUGGGAAAUGAACAACAUUGUGGCUGUAUGAAGACUAGUUAACUACGUUCCUGCUUGACAUGAAUUGACUUGAAAUAUUUGCAAACCUGUGGGUGGUCUGGCUGGUAAAAUGGCUCAAGUGAAUAUUUAAUGUCCAUGAAUGACACAAAUCAACAAAAGCUACACAGUUAUCCGGUCAAAAUGCAUAAUCGUGGUCAUUACAGGUCAGACAAUGUGGUUAGGCUCAAACUGACUACAGUGUAAGGAAACAAUAUUUGUUGCAUUUGAUAAGAACAGCCUUGAAUUUGAUGAAAUAUUUGGACAUGAACAUUGACAGGCUGCUUGUGAAAUAGCACAUUGGGCUUUUUGUCUCAGUCUGGCCGAUUAAGUGGAAUGUCGACCUUUUAUGCAAAGAGGAGCUCCGCUGCUUUAAAGUGAGGGUAGGGCGAUGUACUGUAUAGUGCAUUUUGCGGCACCAUAUUGAUCAGAUGACGCCGUACGUUUUUGAACGAAAUCAAAAUUGUCAAUUACUAUUUGGAUAAAAAUACAUAUAAAGUGGUGUUUUGGUGGUACCAAGGUCUUUUCUUUAAAGGCAUUUUAAAAAUGUGCGUACAUAAUUGACUACAUCAAAUCAGGUCCAAGACGUGCGCACUGGUGGCCUGUUGGUAUGCAUGAAUAAACCACCAGACCCCCAUUAUAAGAUGAGCCCCAUCUUUUUCCGACUGUUUUUCUAGGGGAAAAAAAUAGUGUCUUAUAUUGGGUUCAAAACACAAAGUCAAUGCAACAAGACUUGAUGUGUAGUGUAUAGUUUUGGGGGCGGGGGGUUGUUGUGUGUGUGUGACAAAUACCAAAAAUAGUCAUCCCAUUUCAAUCAUAGUCACCUGUUCCUCCUCUAUAUUUAUGUUAAGGGUGAAAGCAAUUCAGCAACAACAGUGAUGAUUUAAGAAAAAAUGUUGCGAGACUAACGCAACGUUCAUUUAUGGAAUGUCAUGUGGGCAACAUGUAAACUCAAAUUGAGAUGAAUAACUUUCUCACAAACAUCAGCAGUUCAAGGUGCCAUUGAAUGUGAAGAUGUCACUAAUAAUAUAUAUUUGUGCAUAUGUGCAAAUCGCAGGGGUUACAAACAGUAUUCUAGGGUGGGGGGCAAAUUAUACCGUCAAGAAAUACACAACUUUAUUUUUGUGUGUGUGCGUGUAGUUUUCAGGGUUAAUUGAUUAUUGGAUAAAAUACAUGUACUUUACAAUUUGAAUGAAUGACUUUCCAACAUUAAUCGAAAUGCAUUGUGUUAAAAUCCUUGAAUUGUAUUGUAAAUAUGUAAUUUAUGAGAGCAGAUGAAAUUAAAGACCUGAUUUGUACCUGAUUUGUUUUGUUUUUGCAACCUGUCCUGUCCUUUCUACCUCGUAAUAAUAAUGUAGUAAUAAUGUAUGUGUAUAUAUAUAUAUAUAUAUAUAUAUAAUCGGUUAUAACAAUUCAAAAUACAUCAGUUAUUAUUAUGUGCAUGCAUGUGUAAAUACACUCCUGAUCAAAAUGUUAAGACCUGUUGAGAAACGGAUCUUAAAGGGAAAAAAAAAAAAAGGAAAACUUUUUUGGGGGGAAUUUUGCCCAUCAUCCACAAUCCUCAUGUGAAACACGAACGUAUAUUUCUUUCCCUUUUUUGUGGGUUCUAACGACAGUAAACGAGUUAGUAUGAGCCAGCGAACGUUGCACUUAAUGGGAGGUGCCUAGUGUAUUAUGACUAUGAAGCCCUCUAAAAAAAAAAAAAAAAAAAAAAAAAACAUGAUGUGAUCAUGCAAUAACAAGUACAUUGAUAUCAUGCCGUAUUUUGAUGAUUUAAAACAUUAACUUCUUUCCUAGGUGCAUUGAUUUGCCCAUAGGAGCUAAUGCGAUUUCUGUCCUUCCAGCACAAGACUUGUG